AGAGUUUGAUCCUGGCUCAGGACGAACGCUGGCGGCGCGCCUAACACAUGCAAGUCGAACGGAGUCAAGAGGAACCUGCUUUUCUUGACUUAGUGGCGAACGGGUGAGUAACGCGUGAGUAACCUGCCCUGGAGUGGGGGACAACAGUUGGAAACGACUGCUAAUACCGCAUAAGCCCACGGUGCCGCUUGGCACUGAGGGAAAAGGAUUUAUUCGCUUCAGGAUGGACUCGCGUCCAAUUAGCUAGUUGGUGAGGUAACGGCCCACCAAGGCGACGAUUGGUAGCCGGACUGAGAGGUUGAUCGGCCACAUUGGGACUGAGACACGGCCCAGACUCCUACGGGAGGCAGCAGUGGGGGAUAUUGCACAAUGGGGGAAACCCUGAUGCAGCGACGCCGCGUGGAGGAAGAAGGUUUUCGGAUUGUAAACUCCUGUCGUUAGGGACGAUAAUGACGGUACCUAACAAGAAAGCACCGGCUAACUACGUGCCAGCAGCCGCGGUAAAACGUAGGGUGCAAGCGUUGUCCGGAAUUACUGGGUGUAAAGGGAGCGCAGGCGGACCGGCAAGUUGGAAGUGAAAACUAUGGGCUCAACCCAUAAAUUGCUUUCAAAACUGCUGGCCUUGAGUAGUGCAGAGGUAGGUGGAAUUCCCGGUGUAGCGGUGGAAUGCGUAGAUAUCGGGAGGAACACCAGUGGCGAAGGCGACCUACUGGGCACCAACUGACGCUGAGGCUCGAAAGCAUGGGUAGCAAACAGGAUUAGAUACCCUGGUAGUCCAUGCCGUAAACGAUGAUUACUAGGUGUUGGAGGAUUGACCCCUUCAGUGCCGCAGUUAACACAAUAAGUAAUCCACCUGGGGAGUACGACCGCAAGGUUGAAACUCAAAGGAAUUGACGGGGGCCCGCACAAGCAGUGGAGUAUGUGGUUUAAUUCGAAGCAACGCGAAGAACCUUACCAGGUCUUGACAUCCGAUGCAUAGUGCAGAGAUGCAUGAAGUCCUUCGGGACAUCGAGACAGGUGGUGCAUGGUUGUCGUCAGCUCGUGUCGUGAGAUGUUGGGUUAAGUCCCGCAACGAGCGCAACCCUUAUUGUUAGUUGAUACAUUUAGUUGAUCACUCUAGUGAGACUGCCGUUGACAAAACGGAGGAAGGUGGGGACGACGUCAAAUCAUCAUGCCCCUUAUGACCAGGGCUACACACGUACUACAAUGGCAGUCAUACAGAGGGAAGCAAAGCUGUGAAGCAGAGCAAAUCCCUAAAAGCUGUCCCAGUUCAGAUUGCAGGCUGCAACUCGCCUGCAUGAAGUCGGAAUUGCUAGUAAUCAAGGAUCAGCAUGCCGCGGUGAAUACGUUCCCGGGC
rnacentral:rRNA from 1 species